rnacentral:lncRNA from 1 species
AUAAGUCCUAUUUGAAGAGGCUCAUACACGGAACGUCUGGAAAUAAUACCGGGAGCGGGAGAUUCAAUUAACCGAGAUUCCGAAGUUGAAAUUUCUCCUCGACCGUCAAUAGGUUUAGCUAGGGCAUUUACAACACGACCCAAAUUAACCGAGAUUCCGAAGUUGAAAUUUCUCCUCGACCGUCAAUAGGUUUAGCUAGGGCAUUUACAACACGACCCAAAUAACCCUCACUUACUGGUAUCUGAGCAAUUCUUCCUGUUGCUUUUACGAAACUUCCCUCUUGUAUCAUCA